CCUACGGGAGGCAGCAGUGGGGAAUCUUGCGCAAUGGGCGAAAGCCUGACGCAGCCAUGCCGCGUGAAUGAUGAAGGUCUUAGGAUUGUAAAAUUCUUUCACCGGGGGACGAUAAUGACGGUACCCGGAGAAGAAGCCCCGGCUAACUUCGUGCCAGCAGCCGCGGUAAUACGAAGGGGGGCUAGCGUUGCUCGGAAUUACUGGGCGUAAAGGGAGCGUAGGCGGAUAGUUUAGUCAGAGGUGAAAGCCCAGGGCUCAACCUUGGAAUUGCCUUUGAUACUGGCUAUCUUGAGUAUGGGAGAGGUUAGCGGAACUCCGAGUGUAGAGGUGAAAUUCGUAGAUAUUCGGAAGAACACCAGUGGCGAAGGCGGCUAACUGGCCCAUUACUGACGCUGAGGCUCGAAAGCGUGGGGAGCAAACAGGAUUAGAUACCCUGGUAGUCCACGCCGUAAACGAUGAGUGCUAGUUGUCGGCAUGCAUGCAUGUCGGUGACGCGAGCUACGACAUUAAGACACUCCGCCGUCGGGGAGGUACGGUCGCGAGAAUUAAACUACAAAUAGAAGUUAGUACGGCGUGAGACGUGCCGACGGACGACGACGAGGGAGGUUAGG
rnacentral:rRNA from 1 species